UGAUAGCUCAGUCAGUAGAGCAUGAGCCUCUUAAUCUCAGGUCUGUGGGUUUGAGCCCCACGCUGGGCAAAA